rnacentral:rRNA from 1 species
UACGGAGGGUGCAAGCGUUAUCCGGAUUUACUGGGUUUAAAGGGUGCGUAGGGGGGUAGGAAAGUCAGUGGUGAAAUCUUCGGGCUUAACCCGGAAACUGCCAUUGAUACUAUUUAUCUUGAAUACUUUGGAGGUAAGCGGAAUAUGUCAUGUAGCGGUGAAAUGCUUAGAUAUGACAUAGAACACCAAUUGCGAAGGCAGCUUACUACACAGUUAUUGACACUGAGGCACGAAAGCGUGGGGAUCAAACAGG